GGCUUGGGAGCGNAGGAUCUACCGAGUUUACACUCCCAACCCAAUGUGAACCAUACCAAACUGUUGCCUCGGCGGGGUCACGCCCCGGGUGCGUCGCAGCCCCGGAACCAGGCGCCCGCCGGAGGGACCAACCAAACUCUUUACUGUAGUCCCCUCGCGGACGUUAUUUCUUACAGCUCUGAGCAAAAAAUUCAAAAUGAAUCAAAACUUUCAACAACGGAUCUCUUGGUUCUGGCAUCGAUGAAGAACGCAGCGAAAUGCGAUAAGUAAUGUGAAUUGCAGAAUUCAGUGAAUCAUCGAAUCUUUGAACGCACAUUGCGCCCGCCAGUAUUCUGGCGGGCAUGCCUGUCCGAGCGUCAUUUCAACCCUCGAACCCCUCCGGGGGGUCGGCGUUGGGGAUCGGGAACCCCUCAGGCGGGAUCCCGGCCCCGAAAUACAGUGGCGGUCUCGCCGCAGCCUCUCCUGCGCAGUAGUUUGCACAACUCGCACCGGGAGCGCGGCGCGUCCACGUCCGUAAAACACCCAACUUUCUGAAAUGUUGACCUCGGAUCAGGUAGGAAUACCCGCUGAACUUAAGCAUAUCAUAANCCGGGAGGA
rnacentral:rRNA from 1 species